AUUCCAAUCGAACCCGGAGAUAGCUGGUUCUCCCCGAAAUAGCUUUAGGGCUAGCCUCGAGGUUGAGAGUAUAGGCGGUAGAGCACUGAUCGGGCUAGGGGCCAUACCGGUUACCGAACCUAGUCAAACUACGAAUGGCUAUACUUAUACUCGGGAGUCAGACAGUGAAUGAUAAGGUCCAUUGUCAAGAGGGAAACAGCCCAGAACACCGACUAAGGUCCCCAAUGUCAUACUAAGUGGCGAAGGAUGUGGAAUUUCCAAAACAACCAGGAUGUUGGCUUAGAAGCAGCCACCAUUUAAAGAGUGCGUAAUAGCUCACUGGUCGAGAGACUCUGCGCCGAAAAUGUCCGGGGCUAAAGUAUGAAACCGAAGUCGUGUCAUAUGCAGCAAUGUAUAUGGGUAGGGGAGCGUUCUCAUCGGAUUGAAGCAGUACCGUAAGGAGUUGUGGACUGGUGAGAAGUGAGAAUGUCGGUAUGAGUAGCGAAAAGAAUGGUGAGAAUCCAUUCCACCGAAAGCCUAAGGGUUCCUGAGCAACGAUCGUCGUCUCAGGGUAAGUCGGGACCUAAGCCGAGGCGGAAAAGCGUAGGCGAUGGACAACAGGUUGAAAUUCCUGUACCGGUGUGAAUCGUUUGAUCGAAGGAGUGACACAGUAAGGUAGGUCAGCACGCGAUUGGAAGUGCGUGUUUAAGCAUGUAGGUUGAGCUAUAGGCAAAUCCGUAGCUCUAAAAGCUGAGAUGUGAUGACGAGCUGUUUACAGCGAAGUGAUUGAUCCUACACUGUCGAGAAAAGCUUCUAGGUAGAGACACAUCGCCCGUACCAAAACCGACACAGGUAGGCGGGGAGAGAAUCCUAAGGUGCGCGGGAAAACCCUCGUUAAGGAACUCGGCAAAAUGCCUCCGUAACUUCGGGAAAAGGAGGACUCAUGUAGUGUGAAGGGCAGUAACGCGUGGAGCAUGAAUGAGUGGCACAAGAGAGGCGCAAGCGACUGUUUACCACAAACACAGGUGCCUGCUAAAGCGAAAGCUGAUGUAUAGGUGCUGACACCUGCCCGGUGCUGGAAGGUUAAGAGGAGGGGUUAGACUUCGGUCGAAGCUCUGAAUUGAAGCCCCAGUAAACGGCGGCCGUAACUAUAACGGUCCUAAGGUAGCGAAAUUCCUUGUCGGGUAAGUUCCGACCCGCACGAAAGGUGUAACGACUUGCGCACUGUCUCAACGAGGGACCCGGUGAAAUUGAAGUACCUGUGAAGAUGCAGGUUACCCGCGACUGGACAGAAAGACCCCAUGGAGCUUUACUGCAACCUAAGAUUGAACUUAGUUAAUGAAUGUACAGGAUAGGUGGGAGACUUAGAAUCUAGGGCGCCAGUCUUAGAGGAGUCGUUGUUGGGAUACCACCCUUUGAUUAAUUGAUUUCUAACAGGCCGAUUAACAACCGGCUGGACAGUCUUAGGCGGGCAGUUUGACUGGGGCGGUCGCCUCCUAAAGAGUAACGGAGGCGCCCAAAGGUUCCCUCAGAGCGGACGGAAAUCGCUCGAAGAGUGUAAAGGCAGAAGGGAGCUUGACUGCGAGACGGACAGGUCGAGCAGGGACGAAAGUCGGGCUUAGUGAUCCGGUGGUGCCGAGUGGAAGGGCCAUCGCUCAACGGAUAAAAGCUACCCUGGGGAUAACAGGCUAAUCUCUCCCAAGAGUCCAUAUCGACGGGGAGGUUUGGCACCUCGAUGUCGGCUCAUCACAUCCUGGGGCUGAAGUAGGUCCCAAGG
rnacentral:rRNA from 1 species